AACGCACAUUGCGCCCGCUAGUACUCUAGCGGGCAUGCCUGUCCGAGCGUCAUUUCAACCCUCGAGCCCCCGGGCUUGGUGUUGGGGAUCGGCCGCCGCUCACCCGGUGGCCGGCCCCGAAUUAUAGUGGCGGUCUCGCUGUAGCCUCCUCUGCGUAGUAGCACACCUCGCACUGGAACGCGGCGCGGCCACGCCGUAAAACCCCAACUUCUGAAGGUUGACCUCGGAUCAGGUAGGAAUACCCGCUGAACUUAA
rnacentral:misc_RNA from 1 species